GACGAACGCUGGCGGCGUGCCUAAUACAUGCAAGUAGAACGCACAGGAUGCACCGUAGUUUACUACACCGUAUUCUGUGAGUUGCGAACGGGUGAGUAACGCGUAGGUAACCUGCCUGGUAGCGGGGGAUAACUAUUGGAAACGAUAGCUAAUACCGCAUAAGAACAUUUACUGCAUGGUAGAUGUUUAAAAGGUGCAAAUGCAUCACUACCAGAUGGACCUGCGUUGUAUUAGCUAGUAGGUGAGGUAACGGCUCACCUAGGCGACGAUACAUAGCCGACCUGAGAGGGUGAUCGGCCACACUGGGACUGAGACACGGCCCAGACUCCUACGGGAGGCAGCAGUAGGGAAUCUUCGGCAAUGGACGGAAGUCUGACCGAGCAACGCCGCGUGAGUGAAGAAGGUUUUCGGAUCGUAAAGCUCUGUUGUAAGAGAAGAACGAGUGUGAGAGUGGAAAGUUCACACUGUGACG
rnacentral:rRNA from 1 species